GUGGAUUAGAUACCCUGGUAGUCCACGCCGUAAACGAUGUCUGCUAGCCGUGGGGAUCCUUGAGGUCUCGGUGGCGCAGCUAACGCGAUAAGCAGACCGCCUGGGGAGUACGGCCGCAAGGUUAAAACUCAAAUGAAUUGACGGGGGCCCGCACAAGCGGUGGAGCAUGUGGUUUAAUUCGAUGCAACGCGAAGAACCUUACCAGGUCUUGACAUCCAGCGAACUGCCGAGAGAUCGGCGGGUGCCUUCGGGAGCGCUGAGACAGGUGCUGCACGGCUGUCGACAGCU
rnacentral:rRNA from 1 species